GAUGAACGCUGGCGGCGUGCCUAACACAUGCAAGUCGAGCGAGAAGUAAAGGAAUGAAGCUUCGGUAGAUUUUCAUUAUGGAAAGCGGCGGACGGGUGAGUAACGCGUAGGCAACCUGCCCUGUACAGGGGGAUAGCCACCCGAAAAGGUGAUUAAUACCCCAUGAUGCAAGAGAUACACAUGUAUCACUUGUCAAAGAUUUAUCGGUAUGGGAUGGGCCUGCGUCUGAUUAGCUAGUUGGUAGGGUAACGGCUUACCAAGGCAACGAUCAGUAGCCGACCUGAGAGGGUGAUCGGCCACAUUGGAACUGAGACACGGUCCAAACUCCUACGGGAGGCAGCAGUGGGGAAUAUUGCACAAUGGGGGAAACCCUGAUGCAGCAACGCCGCGUGAAGGAAGAAGGCCUUCGGGUUGUAAACUUCUGUCCUAGGGGAAGAAACAAAUGACAUACCCUGGAG
rnacentral:rRNA from 1 species